rnacentral:rRNA from 1 species
UUGGAGGGCAAGUCUGGUGCCAGCAGCCGCGGUAAUUCCAGCUCCAAUAGCGUAUAUUGAAGUUGUUGCAGUUAAAAAGCUCGUAGUUGAAUUUCGGGAUCAAAUUGUCGGUCGUGCCUCGGUACGCACUGGUAUUAUUGGUUCCCACCUUCUGAAGAACCGCGAUGUCAUUAAUUUGGUGUCGUGGGGAAUCAGGACUGUUACUUUGAAAAAAUUAGAGUGUUUAAAGCAGGCUUACGCUUGAAUACAUUAGCAUGGAAUAAUGAAAUAGGACGUUUGAUUCUAUUUUGUUGGUUUCUAGGAUUGACGUAAUGAUUAAUAGGGAUAGUUGGGGGCAUUAGUAUUCAAUUGUCAGAGGUGAAAUUCUUGGAUUUAUUGAAGACUAACUACUGCGAAAGCAUUUGCCAAGGAUGUUUUCAUUAAUCAAGAACGAAAGUUAGGGGAUCGAAGACGAUCAGAUACCGUCGUAGUCUUAACCAUAAACUAUGCCGACUAGGAAUCAGACGAUGUUAAUUUUUAAUGACUCGUUUGGCACCUUACGGGAAACCAAAGUGUUUGGGUUC